rnacentral:sRNA from 1 species
AGAAAGGAAAAAUUGACCCAAAGUCAGGCAAGCAAGUUUUUAUUAACCUGCCACCAGCUGCUUAACAGUCAGAGGAAGCAGCCCCAAGCUUACAGAUUGAGGGGUUUAUAUUGGGGAGGGGAGUUUGAGGGAGUUCUUCGGUAUAGUCACAUCCCCGGGGUUGUUUGCUGGUUAAUUUUGCCACAUAUCACCUUGUGAUGUUUAUGGUAGCAGCUAGAUGAACAGCAGGAAUUUACAGAAGGGUGUAGGUAAAGUUUGUUUAUGCUUCCCACGAUCCCCCCUUGUGCGGUCCAGAUGGUCUGUAAUUGGUGAAGUCUGCUGGCUCCGCCCUAACACUGACCACAGUGCCCCUUGUGCCCUUCCAGUCUGCAGCCCCUCUUUCCUGGAGUAAAUGAACUGGACCAAAUCUCAAAAAUCCACGAUGUUAUCGGCACACCUGCUCAGAAGACCCUCACCAAGUUCAAACAGGAUCAGGAAUACCUCUACUGACAACCAAUUUGUCCCCACAAUGCCUCUCCCUCUUGCACGCAAUGGUGGCCUACGAUCCCGAUGAGAGAAUCGCCGCCCACCAGGCCCUGCAGCACCCCUACUUCCAAGAACAGAGGAAAACAGAGAAGCGGGCUCUGGGCAGCCACAGAAAAGCUGUCUUUCCGGAGCACCCUGUGGCACCGGAACCACUC